rnacentral:ribozyme from 1 species
CAGUGAAAGAGAAGAAGAAAGAACAAAAUGACCGACGGAAUCAAGUGGUACAACAGUUAAUCGAUCAGUGCCAGCAUGAUCCACUACCACCAUCGGUACAACCCACACAAACAUCCUGUCCUC